rnacentral:rRNA from 1 species
AUGGCGGCGGCCACCAGGUGCGCCCCGGCGCCCGCGGCGGCCCCACGGCCCCGGUCCCGGCACCGGCUGCGGUGCCGCUGCUGCGAGGACACGCUGGGCGUCCCGCGCCGCCGCGCGACGUCGUCGUCUGGAGCACAGGAGCAUCAGCAGCAGCACUACUUCCCGGAGCUCCGCCCGCUGCCGUACCCGGCGCCCCCGCCCCGGCCGCGGCGCAUCGUGCUGGUGCGACACGGGCAGAGCGAGGGGAACGUGGACGAGGGCGCCUACACGCGCGUCCCCGACCCGCUCAUCGGCCUCACCCCCAAAGGACACCGCCAAGCCGAGGACUGCGGCCGCCGCCUGCACCGCCUCCUCUCCUCCGGCCACGGAGACGAUGAGGAGGAGGACAGCGACGACGACUGGAAGGUCUACUUCUACGUGUCCCCGUACCGGCGCACCCUUGAGACGCUCCGCGGGGUCGGCCGCGCCUUCGACGCCCGCCGCAUCGCCGGCGUCCGCGAGGAGCCCCGCAUCCGCGAGCAGGACUUCGGGAACUUCCAGGACCGGGAGAAGAUGCGGGUGGAGAAGGAGAUCCGGCGGCGCUACGGCCGGUUCUUCUACCGGUUCCCGGACGGCGAGUCGGCGGCGGACGUGUACGACCGGAUCACGGGCUUCCGAGAGACCCUCCGCGCCGACAUCGACAUCGGCCGGUUCCAGCCGCCGUCGCCGCCGGGCGGCCCGACGGCGCCGGAGAUGAACCUGGUGCUGGUGUCGCACGGGCUGACGCUGCGGGUGUUCCUGAUGCGGUGGUACAAGUGGACGGUGCGGCAGUUUGAAGGCCUGGCGAACCUGGACAAUGGCGGCACGCUGGUGAUGCAGACCGGCGAGGGCGGCCGGUACAGCCUGCUGGUGCACCACACCGUGGACGAGCUGAGGGAGUUCGGGCUCACCGACGAGAUGAUCGACGACCAGAUGUGGCAGCGGACAGCAAGGCCCGGCGAGCUCAACUACAACUUCAUCACCAACGGCCCCUCCUUCUUCACUCAUUUCAGCUAG